UGCUGGUCUGAAGGUAGUGAGUUAUCUCACUUGAUUGUUCUCAGUCAGUUACAGAUUGAACUCCUUAUUCUACUCCUUCCCCCCUUCUUACUACUUAGUAGUCUAAAAAAAC
rnacentral:Y_RNA from 1 species